AUUUUUUGUGCAGUUCUGAAGUAUUGGCUGGGAAUUAAAUAUUUUUACUUCUUCUUGUGACACUGCAUUUAGGGUGAGAAAUUUGUAUCUCAUUAUCAUGUAUUAUUACAGUGCUCCAGGUUGUAAGUCAUAUACCUGAACAUUCUGACUAACUGAGGUCAUUUCAUAUUUCACAGAUUUGACAAGCAGAUAAACAUGCUAUAGACAGAGAUGAUAAGAACAGAGAUCUGGUCAUAUUUUAAAGAGGGGGUAUCAUGCUUUUUUUCCAGACUCUAUACUUCCUUUUUGGUAUCUCUUUAAUAGCUUUACAUGAUUUUCAGAUCAAAAAAAGCCGCAUGUUUCUUGUUUUUCUGCUCCACUGUAGGUGUCACCUCACACAUUGCUAGGGGCAGGUCAUUUAGAAAUGCAUAAUACCUCCUCUUAAAGUUAAAAAAUGCAUUUGACAGCCGAUUAGCUUACACCAGAACACAGCCAACAAUAGCAUUCAGCCACUUCCUGUUGAACAAAGAUCAUAGAUUCAACAAGAAAAGAGAGACACUUGCACAAACAGAUCGUUUAUUUUAAAGAUGACGACUGUAGAAGUGUUAAGGUUUUUAGUAUUGCUACCCUGAGCAUGAUGUGAUGGAAAUAUGGUUUAUUGUGGCACACAUAGAACUACACAUUUUGCCUUUAAGACCUACUAUUUCUUACCAUCACAAGUACACAUCAUCAAUAAGACUUUUAUUCUUGCAAUACAGUGAUGCUGCUAAUAUUGUUACAGCCCUACAAGACUGUCUUGAAAAGAGGCUCUAAUCCAAGUCCUGGCUUUCCCUUUAAAUUAAUAUUUUCCUGUUUGUUUAAUUUUUCUAAGUUUGAUGUGUUUCCUUUUCUGUGCAAAAAGGACAAAGGAAUAUCGACAAUGUGCUGAGGUUUAAAGAGCCCCGUGCAUUUUUUAAAUUGCAAGUGCAAGAGAUAAAGCUGAGUGAAUUUACUGUGGACUCCACUCCACUUGACCCACAGUCACUGUGUGAGUCAGAGGAUUGCUAACACUAAUAAAUGAGUGUGGGGUUGACGAGCCAUUAAAAAGCGCUUUGAGGCUCCAUUUAAGAAAAGAUGGUCCUAAAACCUGCUCCAUGUAAAUUCGAAGAGAAACCGCCUGUGUCAGAGGACAUUAAAAUACAAAUGAAUAUAAAUGCAGUUCCGGAAAAUAUUUGUCAGAAUGAGGCAGCGGUUAUUGUAAUCACCGUCAUAGGCCAUAAUUUUACAGUUAGACAUGCCAUAUGCCUCUCACUAUCAAUAUCCUCAUCUAUCGAAUAGAUAAGAGGAGGCAACAAGCGGAGAAGUGUGAAAGUGUUUGUAGGAAUCAAAGACAGCCAUAAGCUGCUGGAGCUGACGGCUCUGUUUUUCCAGAGUGUGUUUAUUUAUUUAUUUUUCCACUCACACAGCACUGACAGAUCUGAGACAACACUCCAGAGAGGGAUAGAUGCUGACAAGGGUGUAGUUAAUACAUGCUGCAUGGCAAAGUCAGAAGAAAGGAACAGUAAGGCUCCUAAUCGCACAAAAAGUCAACACAAAGGCCUGUCAGGGUACAGCUGGAAGGAAAC
rnacentral:lncRNA from 1 species